rnacentral:rRNA from 1 species
GAUGAACGCUGGCGGCAGGCCUAACACAUGCAAGUCGAACGAGUGGCGGACGGGUGAGUAAUGUCUGGGAAACUGCCCGAUGGAGGGGGAUAACUACUGGAAACGGUAGCUAAUACCGCAUACCAUCGGAUGUUCCCAGAUGGGAUUAGCUUGUAGGUGAGGUAACGGCUCACCUGGGCGACGAUCCCUAGCCGGUCUGAGCGGAUGACCAGCCACACGGGAACUGAGACACGGUCCAGACUCCUCCGGGAGGAAGCAGUGGGGAAGAUUGCACAAGGGGCGAAAGCCUGAUGAAGCCAUGACGCGUGUAGGAAGAAGGCCUUCGGGUUGUAAAGUACUUUCAGCGGGGAGGCGUUACCCGCAGAAGAAGCACCGGCUAACUCCGUGCCAGCAGCCGCGGUAAUAC